rnacentral:tRNA from 1 species
GGCUAGCUCAGGGGUAGAGCGCAUGCUUAGCAUGCACAAGGUCCUGGGUUCAAUCCCCAGUACUGCCA